rnacentral:tRNA from 1 species
CAUUAGAUGGCUGAAAAACAAGUAAUGGUCUCUUAAACCAAAAAAUAGUAAAUUAGUGUAUACUUCUAAUGA